rnacentral:lncRNA from 1 species
AUCAAUUAGAAUAAACAUAUACAUCUAAUUCUUCGCUAGGAUGAGGCAAGCCUGCAAUAUCUCCUUGAUGUGGCAACACUGGAAGAUAUAAACACGGAACAGCUGUCUCUGUGACAAGUGUGCUUGCGAGGCGCUGCCGAUUUUCUUCAAGAACAUUCCCCCUUCGACAGGAAACUAAAUGUGAUGGCUUAACAGUGAAAGUGAAAUUGUCCAGAAAAAAAAAAAGAAGAGGGAAAAAAAUGAAAAGGCUGAAAGAAUCAUGUUACUUUUUGGUUCCUGUAUUAUGGA